rnacentral:rRNA from 1 species
UACGGGGGGAGCAAGCGUUGUUCGGAAUCACUGGGCGUAAAGGGCGUGUAGGCGGAUAGGUAAGUGGGAUGUGAAAUGCCUCGGCUCACCCGAGGAACUGCAUUCCAUACUGCCAGUCUUGAGUACGGGAGAGGAUGAGGGAAUUCCUGGUGUAGCGGUGAAAUGCGUAGAUAUCAGGAGGAACACCGGUGGCGAAGGUGCUCAUCUGGCCCGAUACUGACGCUGAGGCGCGAAAGCUAGGGGAGCAAACAGG